rnacentral:lncRNA from 1 species
UGAUUAUCAAUAUUUUCAAAUGAAAACUAACAAAUAACAAACUAACACUAAUGAAAAAUGCUUUUUCUAGUUCAUACAUGAAUACAUGAUAUAAGUUCUCAAGUUAAAAUUCAAAUCACGUGUAUAGCAACAUUUUCUCCUAAUGGAGGUCUACCAGCUAAUAACCGUUUGCUACCUUUUGUUAUACCUGCACUUCGUCGAGCUAUUGUGGUAGGUUGAACCUUAAUAGUUGCACCAUCUCUAUUUCUCAAUGGUACACAAUUCCCUGCUACGAUGACCCAUAUGAAGUAUUACACAGGUUUAAUAAGUUUAAUACAUUUUCAAAUUUGCUGCUAUCAUUUGAUUCUGAGCUGGAACUUGCUUCUACUUUUAAAAAUGGAUCAUAAAAUGACUUAUCCAAGACUUGUUCUCCAAAGGCAACUUUAGCUAUAUUAAAACGGUCUGUAGCAGUUAUAGAAGGAAAAUUAUCAGAUUUAAUAUUAAAAAAUUGAAAAAUAGCAUACUGAUGUUUACAAAACUUUCCAGCCAAGGCACUAGAACAUGAACAAAGACCACAUUUAAUAUUAACAUAAUAUAAUAAUGUUUGUUCUUGUUCACUUGGCACUAAAAAUUCAUAGUCAUUUUCUUGUACAAUCAUAUCUUCUUUUAAAUAUGUAACUUUCUUCAUCAUUUUUUGUAACAUUAAUCUGAUUGAGGAAUUUCUACUGUCUGCAAAUUCUCUUAGUCUUCUUUUAUAAUAAUCUUCUAAAGCUGUACUAGUUAAAUCUAUUAAAGCUAACACAUUGUACGCUUUUACUCUACCUAAAACAUGAUCUUUAUAAAGUCUAACUGCUACUUCACAGUAAUUGUUAGUUACAUGACCUCUAGAAUAACUGUCCCUAAAACAUAUACACCAUUUUUCUUUAUAUGUCCAAUAAUUACACAAAUAUUUUGUCCAUUGAUGCUAACCUUACUUAUUUGUAUUAUCUGUAUCUAAUAUUAUGUAAGUAUACUAUUCUUUAUUGCUAUAAUUGGAUAUUUACCUCAAUUAAUCCAACACCACUACGUGGACCUAAAUUCAAACUUCUCCAACCAUCAUACCAAAAACGAACCGUACGAUAACAUGGAUUAAUGCCUCCAUUAGCAAAAUGUUCCAACGUGAAAUCCUCUUUUAACUCCAAUAAUUGUUCAUGAUAUUUUUGUGAUUCAGUUAUACCCAUUCCAGAAUCAAAAUACUCAUAAAACAUAUUUUUUAAAUCAUCACCAGCCGGAAUAAAUCUGAGACUUUCAGCAGAUUUUAUAGUAUGGGUAUGAUGAUUAUAUAUUUCUAUACAACAUACUAAACCUUUCUGUAAUAUAAAUAUUAAAUAUCUAUUUAUUGUAAA